CUUUUAUGUAUACAAAUUAUUUUUUAAAUAUGUGGUUUAUAAUAUGUUAUUUGAUCCUGACAAUGUAUCUCAGAAAUACAUUUCUUCAAAUCGAAGUGAUUUUUAAUAUUGUAAGCACUAUAUAUAUUAUUUCAUUCAUGUUAAAUAAUUUUGUUUUGAUUUUUAUUUCUAGAAAGCUUUUAAUGAAAUAUCAUGACAAGAUUCUAGUCACAUCAUUUUCAGUUUGUUCGAAGAAUGAGAGAUUUGAUAAUUCAUCUAAUAUUUAAUACUUCUUAAUAUCCUAUCUAGCUAUUAUAAUUGUAAGAAUAAAAGAUUUAAACUAUUUAUUAUAAGCUUUCUGGUUUAUCAUUUAAUAUAUCAAACAGUUCUUAGUACAUACAUAGUUUACAUAUACUAGAAAGGUAAAAUAAGUAAUUUGUUUUGUUGUUUUAGAAUUAUAUGAUUUUUAGACCGAACUGGUGAAUAUAUACUAGACAUACAUUUAUAUUUCGAGUCUGCAUUUAUAUUCUAUAACAUCUUGAUAUAUUAAAUUUUAACACUAACCUCUGAAUAGAGUUUCACGGUGAUUUUCUUCAAAAAAAUGAUUCUUAGAUAUGUAUCUGGAAUGAAUUUCAUUUUUACAUAUGUCAAUAUUUUUAAAUUGACACUUAUGUAAUCCACUGAAUUCACAGAAGAAGUUAAAAAAAAAAACUCAGCUCAUAUUAGUGAAACAUAAACGAAAGCAAAAUUUUAUAGAGGUAGAAAAUGAAAUUACUUAUGGAGAGUCAAUAAUAAACAAAUCGAGAGCAGAAAACUUAAUCAUGUUUGGUCAUUUUACAAUUGAGGUUGCAUGUGCGCGGGUUAUUAUCUAGUUUGCAUAUUAUUUAACAAAUAUUACCUCCGUUCGUAAAAAAUAUCACAAUGACAUACUUCACGCAGAUUAUAAAAUAUAUUAGUUUGCCUUUAUUUAAUGUAAGAUUAACUAAAAUAAUUAUUUAAAUAAAAAUAUAAAAAAUAUAUUUGUUAUUCAAAAGGAUAAAAUGUAGAUUUAAUGUAUAAAAUUUCAUUAAAAAUGUAAAAUGACACUUUAAAAAAAAAACUCUUUUUAUGAAAUAAAAGAAACAAUAAAGGGGAAAUUGGGAAAAUAAACCAUAAUGAAAUGAUUUUUGUCUUUUUAUACCUUGACAUUAAUUGGUCAAUUUUUGACUUAAUUACCCUCAUAAUAACAAAAUUAUUAUUAAAAAUUAUAUAGAGUUCAGAAAAAUAUAAAAAAAAUCAAUACAAUCAUGAGAAUAUUCUGGAUGUUUUGAUAUAAAUAAUUAAAUUCCAAAAACAAUUAGAAUGUUUUGAUCUAGAUUUGUUAGAAUGUGUAUUAUAACGUUUUUAUAAGGAUAAAAUAGAGUUGCUAACUUAUCUUCAACGUUUUAUAAAAGUGUGUAUUCGUAUUGUAAAAUUUUCUCUAUGAUCUAUCUAAAUAUAAAAUACAUUUGCCCCAGUUCUAACUAGAACGCUUUGUAAUUGUAACAUACAAUAUAUAUUGUAAGCUUUUUUACUUCAUUGUGGAAAAAUAUAGAAAAUGAUUACCUCUGUUCUAUCAUAUACUCUAUCAUAUAUCGUAGAGAAAACAACUAAUUCUUACGCUUAUGCUAUCUUCUAAACACGUGGGAAUUUAUAUUCUAACCUUGCGAGUGUGUUCUAUCUUGUUUACAAUAUGUAUGUAUCUAUCUAUCUAUUUAUAUAAAUAAAUGAGAUUUUUGUCUCUUUUUAAGGUUGUCUCUCUUUAAGGUGUCCACAUCAGCAAGGACCGAAGGGCAAAAAGAUGACACGUGUACUCCUGCUUUUUUAACACAUUCUGCCAUUAAAAAUGUUUAUAUUGUUGUCCGUUUAAAUUAGGUCAAUAGCCCAUUGCUUAAAAGCUAAAACGUUUUCGAGCUCUCCUCUAUGGUCGAAACUCUCCUAGCUACCUCCGCCUUUCUGAAACCGUCGAAAUUACUUCAAUCAUCCACUCCUCUGCGAUUAAAGAUUUGAUGUGGUUGAUGGUAUUCAUUCAUAGCAAUAAAUUCAUCCGUCCAGCUUCCAAGCGUUCCUCACCUAUCUCAUACGCUAUAUAUGAAUGAUGAACUCUCCUAGGUGUACUUUGUAAGGUCGCUGGUCUAAUACCAAUAUCUCGAGAAGGAGAAUGAUGAUGUGGAUAUCAAAAUUAGCAAAGGCUGUCUGCUUCAUGACAGGAUUGACAUGGAAAGGCGGGCACGAUGAAGCUGCAGAUGGCACGAUGUACCUAAAGGACACACUUACUACUGAAGAACAGCAACAACUAACCACCUGUCUUUCCAAAGAUAAAAUUUGCCCAUGUUCUUUGCGUUACAUCGGUUCUUCUUCCGGGCUCUUUUUCCUGUACCACGGCUCUUGCUGCCCUUUUUGGAAGACAAAUGCAGGGGAUUGCAGAAGGUGAAGCAAUAGACAUGUCUCAAGACGACAGAUCAAUCUACUUACCGGAAAGAAGAAGAGUGGAAGCUUCGUCAAUGACGGUUACCUAAAUGGCAUUCUAUAAGUCACACAAGCUCUAGGCGAUUAGGACAUCACGAGGGUCACGAUCUACACUCAUAGCAUAGCCAGAGAUCAAACAUAUACGUUAACAGAGGAAGACGAGUUUUUGAUAAUGAGAUGUGACGGGAUUUGGGACGUUUUGACAAGUCAAGAAGAAGUGACAGAGCUUGCUUUAGAGGCUUCAAGGCUAAAUACAUUUGAUAACGUAUCGGGGGUUUUUUUGUUUGUUUCUUGUCGGCUGAUGAAAUGGUGACGACGGCUCCUCCGGUGGAGAAGCAAUGGUGUUGUAGUUUGACUGCAGAAGCCUUUUAGAGCUUGAGGGUCUUAUAGGAUGGUUGAAUAAAAAGAUGAUGAUGUUCCCUUUAGUGUUCUUGGUUAAGUUUUUUCUUGCUUUUGUAUAUAACUUUAUAAGUUUCUACGUGCUCCAUUUUUGUGCUCCCUGUAGUUCCCUCAUGAAGUUCAUGAGGAUUCAUUUUUGUAUAUAAAUGAAAUAGCGUUAUUUUAACGAAAUAAUUUUGUUCUUUCAA